CAACCCUCAAGCGCUGCCGCUUGGUGCUGGGGUCCUGCACCUGCAGGCCCUGAAAGACAUUGGCAGGGCUUUAGCGAACCCGAGCGUAGUAAAAUCUUUUUCGCCUAGGGCUUCACUAGUCUCUCCGCCGUAAAACAGCCAAAUUCUUAAA
rnacentral:misc_RNA from 1 species